rnacentral:misc_RNA from 1 species
GAUGAAGAACGCAGCGAAAUGCGAUAAGUAAUGCGAAUUGCAGAAUUCAGUGAGUCAUCGAAUCUUUGAACGCACAUUGCGCCCUGUGGUAUUCCGCAGGGCAUGCCUGUUCGAGCGUCAUUUCAACCCUCAAGCCCCGCUUGGUGUUGGGCCCCGCCGCCCCGGCGGGCCCUAAAGUCAGUGGCGGUGCCGUCCGGCUCCGAGCGUAGUAAUUCUUCUCGCUCUGGAGGUCCGGUCGUGUGCUCGCCAGCAACCCCCAAUUUUUUUCAGGUUGACCUCGGAUCAGGUAGGGAUACCCGCUGAACUUAAGCAUAUCAAUAAGCGGAGGA